rnacentral:lncRNA from 1 species
CCCCUUCUCAACCCUCAGCAAGUCGCCAGCCAUCCGAGUACGGAGUCGAGUUAGGGGUCCAAGUGGUUCCCAGGCUAGAGCUACGUCGGGGCAGUCAGACCUAUGUAGACAGAGACUAACCGAUGCAGACAAACAGACGGACGCCACACCCUGCACUUACGGUAGCACAUAGCCCAAGUGGAUGGAGAGGGAAGCUUACGUCUACAAACUGCCACUUUAGCCCUCUUUCUGUGACUGACGAACCCAAGUCCGCGCUGGAUGAUCUGGACCUCAUUCUUGAACUCAGCGGGGGCAGACACUUGCAUGGAAGCCGUUCAUCACUUUAGGCAGAUUAGAGCCUGGCAGGGCGCUGGACCGGUAGGGGAUCACAGUGAGAAAUCGCAGAGGAGCAACAGAGGAACAUUUCCUGCCCUACAGGGCAGCACUGCCAAGAGAUCCUCUUCGGCAUUCGGCAGCGAUUCCAACCGAAGGCUCCCAGGCUCCUGUGACGGACAAAGAAGCAGUGAGAGCUCUCAGGCCCGAGCUGGAGGUAGAGGGACCCCACCAUCUCAGAGGUUGGGAAAGGGACGGCUGCCUGCGCUCAGUCCUGUGAUAACUAGCCUUACCUUGACUCCAAUCCUCCCUGGAGCCCAGAGGAAGCCUAUGAAUGAAGAGAUGCCUGGCACGUUUUGUGAAUGGGAUACUGGAAUGACUGGAGGCUGACGUAAUUUGAGCACCUAGGCUUUCAAGUCCUACCUCAGAUUGGGUGGAUUGGUCAAGAGGCUUUCUGAUUGGCUGGCAAGAGCUUUUCAACCGCCUACACUCAUCUGCCUGGCGGUAGAUAUAAACCAUGAAGGCUUCAGCAUUGGACAGCAACAGGAUUAGAAGCUCAACUCCAGCAGAAACCUGCCUCUCAGCUACCAGGGCUGCAGUUCUUCAGGAAACCUUGCUUCCCCAGAGGACGAGAUGAUCCUCCUAAAGCUCUCUUCCUUCUUGGCUUUCUUUGCCUUGGUUGUGUGCCAGAUGGACAGCCUCCAGGCUGCUCCAUUCAGGCCUGGUUUUGAGUCUGCCAUGCCAGACCACGUGACUCUCAGUGAUGAUGAAGCUCGGCACCUGCUGAAUGCUUUGGUGAAGGAGUUUGUGCAGAUGAAAGCUGACGAGCUGGAUCAGGUGACUGAGGACAACAGUGUCACUGCUCAGAAACGAGGCUGCAACACUGCCACCUGCGUGACCCACCGGUUAGCCGAUUUCCUAAGCAGGUCUGGAGGAGUGGCCAAGAGUGACUUUGUACCAACCAAUGUUGGGGCUAAAGCAUUUGGUAGACGGCGGAGGGACAUCUAGGCAUUGGGCUGAACCCAGGAGGAUGAUCGUGGAGAAACUGAAUCUCCGUGGCUAACUUAAUUUUUAAUGAAAGCAACUUUCCUCCAUGAAGCUCGAAGGCCAAGUGGAUACCCUGAGUUUUUUGCCUCCUCCUAGAGAUGGAUGAAUAUUUUUCUUUGUUCGAAACUGCUGUCAUGUAUAAUAUGAAAUGAGCUAAUUCUGGUUAAUUAUUGUACAUUCUUUUUUAUAUGCGAUUCUAUUUCAAAUAAAACAUCAUAGCAGCUUGUACUGUUGGUCUCU